UUACCUUGUCAUAGAUGAAUAACGAUAGUUCAGUGGGUGAAAUGGAGAUACAGAGAAGUUCAAAACCCCAUCCACGCCUCCUUUCUGUGCAAAUCUCACAAUUCGAAACUCCCGCCAUAAAACGGGCGAAUCCAAAAGAAGCUCAGAGUUUACGCAAACUCCGAAGUGGUGCCUUAUUUGGCUCUGGCCUGUACAUUUGUCACGCCCCAAAAUUUACAUACAGACCAGCCCACUGGUUCGCUGGCCCAAGAACAUGAAUGGAGGUCGUGAAGAUGUCAGACACUAGUUUAGCUAGCCUACUGUUGGGUUUACUUCUACAAGAUUUACAAAGCAGGCAGUUUCUCUAUCGAAAAUGAGCCAGAGAGGUAAAUGCAGUGUUCCAGGCUGCACGGAGAAAGGGGAAGUUUGUCACAGUCUUCCCAAGGAUCCGAAGACUCGGCAGGCAUGGAUAAUGUUUGUCUAUCAGAAGAUCCCUGCAAAGUUCGACGCUCAGCUGUUCAUUUGCUCUGAACAUUUUACCGAAGACAGCUUUCAAAAUCUUGGACAGUUUAAAGCAGGAUUUGCCAAACUUCUUUUACUGAAACGAGGGGCUGUUCCGACCGUAAGGUCAUCACAAACGCAAGCUAGCACAUCACAAGAACAACAAGAACAACCAUGAACAGAAGUUGCAGCAUGCCAAACAGAUCCUCCUUGUGUGGCAUCUCGCGGGACGCAGCUUUCUUUUACUACAUUGAGACCUCACCAACGAAGCAAAGGUUGUACCUUGCUGCUAUGCAUUUCAAUGAGAAUGCUCAGCGCCCACAACGGAAGACAGCCAAGGGGAAACUAAUGUACAGGCUUGUGUUUCCAAAGGCCAAAAGGGGAGGUUACACAGUCAAAAAAGUGAAGACAGAGCCAACGAUUUGCUAUGUCUUUAACCUGAUAAGACUGGUGUUCAAAGAGAUCGUCCAUGACUCCCUUCGUUAUGUGGAUGCCGUCCAGCAGAUUCCUGUGCCCCAAGACUUGUGUGCUCAGCUUCCCAGACCUUCCAG